GUGGUAAAUGUAGUGCUUUAAAAGCUUAAUAUAUUACCUUUACUUAUGACCAAUAAGCUGUGAUACUCUAUAUAAAUAUAGAAAAUCAACCUGCUAGGUCUUUGGAUGUUUAAUCAGAAGAUUCUAGGAUUCUUUGUUUAUUCAGGGAUUGUAGAACACUUCGUGUUGAUUCAAGAAGAGAGUCAAGUUUGUAAAAAGUAAUAAUUUAUUUUCCAAACAAUUAAAAACAUGACAAGUUCACUAAUAUUACUGUGAUGGAUGGAUCUAGGUGGAUGGAAUGUGAUAAAUGGUGACUAAUAUGUUAAUGUGAGGUUAUCAGAACUUUCGUAUCUAGAUCAACUGAGUUCUGGGUGUAAAAGGAAAGAAUUUGGUUUGCAUUAAGCUAUGAAGUUGAUCCUUAUAAAAAAGGCAUCAGAUGCUAUCCGUGUGUCUACCUCACCCUUUGGAAGACCCUCUUUGUGGAUCGAAGGUCAGAGAGGUCAGAUGACCUUUGAUACUGAGGUUUGUAGAAUACCGUAGCACCGACUCUCCAGUCCAGAGAUGUUUUCUGGGACACAACAGAUGGAUGGAACUGCUUGCGUCUAGAAGGACUCUCAGAGAGUCGGAACAAUGUCAGCUUUGUUCUGCAGGAAACCGUUUGCUGUGUCAGUGAUGGGCAGCUUUUAGCACGGUUUUGGCAGCUUGCCAAAACUGCUCAGGUUUAAACAGUUCGCUCCCGACGGCCGCUUCGUAGCGUUCUCUAGAACUGAAUGCUGAAUGAUGGAAAGCUGGAAUGCGACUGCUGAAUCACCUGAGUGAUUCUGUUUAAAUAUUCUCGUGUUAUGAAUUAUUGUCCAAUCGGAACGUGCCAUGUUAAGGGACAUUACCAAGGAAACCUCAGAACAUCACGCCGCCUUCUUGAGAUACCGGAUGCUCUGAUUUGGGGUAAGGCAAUAUCUAUGUGUCAUGAGUUUAACUUAACUUUAAUUUGCCCUUGUGUCUGAGUGCAGGUGAAGCCUGCCUUGUCAUAUCAAACAUUACUGAUUACCAUAUAUAUAAAUCAUUCAAUGUAAUAAUUAAUUUCAUUUCAGUAAUUCAAUCACAGAUCAAUCAACCUUAUUGAUUUAAGCACAGAGUAAUGAAGACAUUAUUAUUAUUGUUAUUAUUAUUUAACGAAUGAUUAACUCAUAUAAGCUGAAAACAGCCACUCGUAUAACAGUCCAGUCCGGCCUAGAUAACCAGGCAGGCUUGGCACAGAAGGGCCUUGAGAAGAGAAACAUUUGUUGACACUUUGUUAUCAUGUGUUCCGAGCUGCAGAGAGGCCCGGGCUCCAGCUGAUGGAAUGCAGGAUCCGGCAGAUUAAAGGCAACACAUGUAGACUCCUGUCUCCAUGUAGACCAGAUACUGAAGGGGUCAAACUGUGCAUGAAAACUGACCUUUUCUGGACAUUACACGACUCAUUAUACACAUUUCCCCAUGAUGCAUGCCUUUGCUCCUUGUUAUAUUUCAUAAAAUUUACAGCUGGUUGCUGUUUGUGUCUGCAUUUUACUCACAGAAAAUCCUUGUUUGUAGAAAGUCCCACUCUCCCACAGCACGUUGUUAUUGUACUGCCUAAUUUUGUCCUUACCUUUAUUAUAGUCUUUCCAUCAUGUCUACUGAAACACGGUGGCCUUGUGCUGUGUGACCACAAAAAAAAGCAGUGUUUCUUUCCAGCUCAAUAAGAAACCUCAAAUUUCUAAAUAAUGUAUUUCUUCUUGUUCAAGACCUCCUCUUUUAUGUCUGUCACAAAGCAAAUGGUCAAAUUGGCUUUUAAGGGCCUUUAUAUAUAAAUAUAAAUGGUGUUUAAUUGUCCCUUCAGGUGAAAAACAGAAAGAUCAGCACAAAAAAAGACAGCUAAAUCUAGAAAACAUUCAAAAGAAACAAGAUAAAAUUAGGGUAUUCUAGUAUUUUAAUCUCUAUAUGUCUUCACUUCUUUAGUUUUUGGACCUCAGAGUCAACGGUUGGUCCAAGUGACUGACGUCUCUCGUCUGGUUGGGUGGGAAUCAGUCCGCAGGGCAGAGUAUUAUGUGUUAACAUACCAUCCCAAAUUUGCUGAGGGUGACAUGGGGCAGGUUCAGGUUCCCAACACAGAGAAUUCUUACCUGAUCAUAGGUCUGACCCCGGGGGGUUACCUACAUUGUUCAGGCGCUUGCAGUCAUCAAAAAGAAUAGAAGUGAAGCAAACUUGAUUGAAGCCACCACAGACAUUGAUGCUACAACAAACCUCGUCACCACUGAAGUAACUGAAGACGCAGUAACGGUCUCCUGGGAUCAGGUCCAGGCUGAAAUCGAUGGCUACAUGCUGAGCUACACCUCCGCUGAAGGCUCCAGCCCGGACAUCCCUGUGGGACGUGACAGCACCUCCUAUAGGCUGGUGGGCCUGAGGCCUGGUGUCCUCCACACUGUCUACAUCUGGGCCUUCAAGGGGGACAAAGUCAGUAGGAAAAUCUCAACAAUAGCUGAAACAGGUCAACACUGAAUGA